rnacentral:tRNA from 1 species
UGCAGUGUAGCUCAGUGGUAGAGCUCUUGCCUAGCAUGUACAAGGACCUCAGUUUGAUCCCUAGCACUGUAA